CGGUCGGGGCACGAGUGGGCAUUCGAGACGCUAAAUGUAGGCACUGACCGCGGACACACUCGAUGGCACAUUNGUCGGUAAACGAUGGUUAUUGUUGUGUUACGAGUUGGAACACUAGUCGAUAUACGUGCAUGACGCCCCCCAGUAGGCACGUUGUUUGGGGCUUGCCCUUGACGAUGUGAUUGCGUCCACGGUUGGCCUAGGCCAAUCUUGUCGAAAUGAUGAUGUGUCUAUACAAUGUCAUGGAGGCAUGUCCCUAAACAAUGGUUGUUGUGCUUCGAUGCAUGUUGGUUUUGUUGUUUUCUCUGUUACUUUCGCAUCGUUCGGUGCAUUUUGAGGGCUGUUUUGGCUUUUGGUUGCUUGCUUGGCUUUUUGCCGGGUGGGUGGCUACUAGUUGGGCGGUUUUCGGGAAUGUCGUCCGUAAAGGUGCAUGAGUGGUGUUUGGUUUGUUACGGGUGGUUGGCUGUCUGCUCGCGCAGCAACGUCCAUGCGUGCAUACCUCUUUAGUUUUGCGGCAAGGCUUAGAUUGUCUUGAGCAUAUUGUGGGUUUCCUGUGUUGCAUACCUGAUUGAUGGUAACGUGUGGGUUUUAUGAUGUCCGUAUUCGUCAUGCGGCGCUUAUGCGACGUUGGAUGAACAUUGAAGCGGUCUUUAUGAUCCAUCUUGUUGUUGCAUUUGCAACAAUGAUGUGGCCUAUGAAGCAUCGCUUGGUCUCUUGUAUACAGAACCUAAUGUAGGCAUAGGUCUUAUAUGAUCAUGAAUUUGCCUUCGUUAAGCGUUUUCGCUUCUCCAAAACGAUUGUCUGCCAUGUCUCGGCUUGUCUGUGCAUGGUGGGCUACGUCGA
rnacentral:misc_RNA from 1 species